rnacentral:rRNA from 1 species
AGAGUUUGAUCCUGGCUCAGGACGAACGCUGGCGGCGUGCCUAAUACAUGCAAGUCGAGCGGGACACUUCGGUGUUCAGCGGCGGACGGGUGAGUAACACGUGGGUAACCUGCCUGAUAGACCGGGAUAACGCUUGGAAACGAGUGUUAAUACCGGAUAGGCUCUUCGAGCGCAUGCUUUGAGAGGGAAAGAGGCUAUCGCCUCACUGUCAGAUGGACCCGCGGCGCAUUAGCUAGUUGGUGAGGUAACGGCUCACCAAGGCGACGAUGCGUAGCCGACCUGAGAGGGUGACCGGCCACACUGGGACUGAGACACGGCCCAGACUCCUACGGGAGGCAGCAGUAGGGAAUCUUCCGCAAUGGGCGCAAGCCUGACGGAGCAACGCCGCGUGAGUGAUGAAGGCCUUCGGGUUGUAAAACUCUGUCUUCUGUGAAGAACAAGCCUGUGAGUGGAAAGCUCAGGCCUUGACGGUAACAGAGGAGGAAGCCCCGGCUAACUACGUGCCAGCAGCCGCGGUAAUACGUAGGGGGCAAGCGUUGUCCGGAAUCACUGGGCGUAAAAGCGCGCGCAGGCGGCUGUCUACGUCCGGGGUGAAAGCCCAGAGCUCAACUCUGGGACUGCCUUGGAUACGGGAUGGCUUGAAGAUCGGAGAGGCAAGGGGAAUUCCACGUAGCGGUGAAAUGCGUAGAGAUGUGGAGGAACACCUGUGGCGAAGGCGCCUUGCUGGCCGAUUUCUGACGCUGAGGCGCGAAAGCGUGGGGAGCAAACAGGAUUAGAUACCCCCGUAGUCC